rnacentral:rRNA from 1 species
GACGAACGCUGGCGGCGUGCCUAAUACAUGCAAGUAGAACGCUGAAGAGAGGAGCUUGCUCUUCUUGGAAGAGUUGCGAACGGGUGAGUAACGCGUAGGUAACCUGCCUUGUAGCGGGGGAUAACUAUUGGAAACGAUAGCUAAUACCGCAUAACAAUGGGUGACCCAUGUCAUUCAUUUGAAAGGGGCAACUGCUCCACUACAAGAUGGACCUGCGUUGUAUUAGCUAGUAGGUGAGGUAACGGCUCACCUAGGCGACGAUACAUAGCCGACCUGAGAGGGUGAUCGGCCACACUGGGACUGAGACACGGCCCAGACUCCUACGGGAGGCAGCAGUAGGGAAUCUUCGGCAAUGGGGGCAACCCUGACCGAGCAACGCCGCGUGAGUGAAGAAGGUUUUCGGAUCGUAAAGCUCUGUUGUAAGUCAAGAACGAGUGUGAGAGUGGAAAGUUCACACUGGACGUAGCUACCAGAAAGGA